CAGUUACAACUAAACUAGAUGGAACAUCAGUCUGUAGAGACGGAGCAGACUGGUGGAGGUUCCUCUCUGGUUCUGUGGGUUUAGCUGCUCUGAUAGCAGCUGUUCUGAUCGUCACCAUUUGGGCCAGAACUAAAGGGAGGAAAACACAUCUGGAUAAAAACACUGUGUGUUAUGAUGAAGAUGAAGCUGCUCUGAACUAUGAAAACAUCAGAACUUCUUCAGUUUGAUCCUCCUGCUUUUCUCAGACUCAGUAGAUUCAGACGCUAAACAUCAG